GAAGAAGAAUCAUAUUGAUUUUCAACAACAAAGAUGUUAAAUUCUACGGCUAAUGCAAAUACAAAGAACGACAUGGAAUUUUCGCAUAGUGCUUUUAUCUCGUUAUUCCAUUUUGUGGUGUUGUUGAAUCCGGGUUUUCUUCGUAGUGAAGUAAGGUGGAAGAAUAUUAUUUCUUGGAAUACAAGAUUAAUGUUCGUUGGGUCAUCUGGGACUCGUGGCACUCUUGUUAGCCCAGGAAGGAAUUGAGGUACUGAUAGUCGGUUUGGCGACCCUUCAGCAUAGGACUUCUACUCAGCUGUUUUGGAGAGCUCCAGUGUUCCGGAGUCUAGACCUUUGGUUCAGAUCUUAUGAUGUAUAUGUAUAUGUUUAUCAAGG